rnacentral:ncRNA from 2 species
AAUAUCUGGCUGGGGUGCCGCUUCGUUCUUGAGCGGCUGAGAUCAUACCCAUCGAACCUGUUCGGAUCAUGCCGACGAAGGGAGCCCCUUGACGACAUCA